ACGGAAGGCAGCAGUGGGGAAUAUUGCACAAUGGGCGAAAGCCUGAUGCAGCGACGCCGCGUGAGCGAAGAAGUAUUUCGGUAUGUAAAGCUCUAUCAGCAGGGAAGAUAAUGACGGUACCUGACUAAGAAGCACCGGCUAAAUACGUGCCAGCAGCCGCGGUAAUACGUACGGUGCAAGCGUUAUCCGGAUUUACUGGGUGUAAAGGGAGCGCAGGCGGUACGGCAAGUCUGAUGUGAAAGCCCGGGGCUCAACCCCGGUACUGCAUUGGAAACUGUCGAACUAGAGUGUCGGAGGGGUAAGUGGAAUUCCUAGUGUAGCGGUGAAAUGCGUAGAUAUUAGGAAGAACACCGGUGGCGAAGGCGGCUUUCUGGACUGUAACUGACACUGAGGCACGAAAGCGUGGGGAGCAAACAGGAUUAGAUACCCUGGUA
rnacentral:rRNA from 1 species